rnacentral:tRNA from 1 species
GGAGAGGUGGCAGAGUGGUCGAAUGUACCUGACUCGAAAUCAGGCGUACGGUCUCCCGUACCGUGGGUUCGAAUCCCACCCUCUCCG